rnacentral:rRNA from 1 species
GACGAACGCUGGCGGCGUGCUUAACACAUGCAAGUCGAGCGGUAAGGCCCUUCGGGGUACACGAGCGGCGAACGGGUGAGUAACACGUGGGUGACCUGCCCUCAGCUCUGGGAUAAGCCUGGGAAACUGGGUCUAAUACCGGAUAUGACUUCUCAUCGCAUGGUGGGGGGUGGAAAGUUUUUCGGCUGGGGAUGGGCCCGCGGCCUAUCAGCUUGUUGGUGGGGUGAUGGCCUACCAAGGCGACGACGGGUAGCCGGCCUGAGAGGGCGACCGGCCACACUGGGACUGAGACACGGCCCAGACUCCUACGGGAGGCAGCAGUGGGGAAUAUUGCGCAAUGGGCGAAAGCCUGACGCAGCGACGCCGCGUGGGGGAUGACGGCCUUCGGGUUGUAAACCUCUUUCGACCGGGACGAAGCGUGAGUGACGGUACCGGUAGAAGAAGCACCGGCCAACUACGUGCCAGCAGCCGCAGUAACAC